GAAAUGCGAUAAGUAAUGUGAAUUGCAGAAUUCAGUGAAUCAUCGAGUCUUUGAACGCACAUUGCGCCCCCUGGUAUUCCGGGGGGCAUGCCUGUCCGAGCGUCAUUGCUGCCCUCAAGCACGGCUUGUGUGUUGGGCCCCGUCCCCUCCCCCGGGGACGGGCCCGAAAGGCAGCGGCGGCACCGCGUCCGAUCCUCGAGCGUAUGGGGACUUUUGUCACACGUUUGCGGUGCGGACCGGCGCCUGCUUGACUUUUCUGAUUAUCCAGGUUGACCUCGGAUCAGGUAGGGAUACCCGCUGAACUUAAGC
rnacentral:misc_RNA from 1 species